CUACACGGGUAUCUAAUCCUGUUUGAUCCCCACGCUAUCGUGCCUGAGCGUCAGAAACGAGCCAGUGAGCCGCCUUCGCCACCGGUGUUCUUCCCAAUAUCUACGAAUUUCACCUCUACACUGGGAAUUCCACUCACCUCUCUCGUCCUCAAGCUCCACAGUUUCAAUGGCAAUUCCGGAGUUGAGCUCCGGGCUUUCACCACUGACUUGAGAAGCCGCCUGCGCACGCUUUACGCCCAGUAAUUCCGAACAACGCUAGCCCCCUUCGUAUUACCGCGGCUGCUGGCAC
rnacentral:rRNA from 1 species